GUCGCGAUGAGUACCCACACAGAUUGAUACGGUUUAUAACAGUUAAGAGUAAUGUUGGGUCUGUAGCUCAGCUGGUUAGAGCGCUCGCCUGAUAAGCGGGAGGUCGGUGGUUCAAGUCCACUCAGACCCACCAAUCUUGCCAAAAGCAAGAUUCCAGCAACAUUAUUGAUGGGGCUAUAGCUCAGCUGGGAGAGCGCCUGCCUUGCACGCAGGAGGUCAGCAGUUCGAUCCUGCUUAGCUCCACCAUCUUUAAGUAUUUUCUUAAUACAGAAUAUUUAGAAAUGGUUCUUAACGAAUCACGCUCUUUAACAAUUUGGAAAGCUGACGAAUAACAACAAUCCCCUUAUCUUCGGAUAAGCGUUGUUAUUCAAAUUAAAAGUUCUCAAAUCCUAGAUGACUUGUUCAUUUAGGUACCAACACACAUUCAAGUGUUCUUGGGUUUUCACGAAAGUGAAAACAUAUUUGAGUCCGGCAAAAUCGAAGUGUUGUCUCGCUCAUAAUAAAGAGACAACGAUAACCCUUGGUUGUUUGCCAUACAGAAACCUUUUGGGG
rnacentral:tRNA from 1 species